rnacentral:rRNA from 1 species
UACGGGGGGGGCAAGCGUUGUUCGGAAUUACUGGGCGUAAAGGGCUCGUAGGCGGCCAACUAAGUCAGACGUGAAAUCCCUCGGCUUAACCGGGGAACUGCGUCUGAUACUGGAUGGCUGGAGUUUGGGAGAGGGAUGCGGAAUUCCAGGUGUAGCGGUGAAAUGCGUAGAUAUCUGCAGGAACACCCGUGGCGAAAGCGGCGCGCUGGACCACUACUGACGCUGAGGAACGAAAGCUAGGGGAGCAAACACG